AUAAUUUUGGUAUCGUGACAACACUAUUACAGAAGACUGUUAAGAACACUUACCAACUGUUUCCCUACCAGCUCCUCCAACCCAGUAUUGCAAGGAUUCAUUGUGCCGUCACGUUUGGUUAAUCUAUUAUUCGUGCUGGGGUUGGAGGAGCUGAAAAAUAUAAAUUGU